GGAGUUGGCGUUGGCGAUCUCGUUGGUCUCGUUGGGAUCCAGCCAGACCUUCUUCUUCCCGCAGCGCAGGACGCUGGAGGCGAGACGCUUCUGGAGCCUGAGCAUGCUGACGGGGGGGGCACAAGACACAGAGCACCCGACCCUUUAUUUCUCUGGACUUGGCGAAGCUGAACCUCAACGGACAAGCAGAGUGCCUGGGGCAACAGCACAGAGCUGGACAACCAGGAAGUGAUCCAGAGGAGAACAACCUGAAAAAAGUCUCCUUCUGCACAUUGUGUGCACAAGUUUUUUUCAAUUUUGAAGAGAGUGACUAGCAAGGCGUCCUCCCUCCCAUCUCUCCGGAAGUAUGAGCCACACAAGGAGGAUCUGGUGGGCGGCUCGGUGCCAUCGGCUCGAAUCAGAACCACGUCACACCAGGUUUCCCUUCAGCUCCCCGGGUGUGAUUUCAACGAGAGGUGGAGGUGGAGGAUGAAUCAGCCCCCAUCCUGGUUUACUCAGGCUCGCCUCAUCAGUCGGUAUGAUCUCAUCAUCAUCAUCAUCAUCACCUUCAUCAUCAUCCAUGCUCAUUAUUUUAAGUCACACUCAAACCAUGUCCGUGACAAUUUGGAUCAUUCCCUGACAAUGUAUGCAUUAUUUUAGCAUUUUUGAUGUUAUAUACGUCAAUUUUCAUUUGAAGAUUAAUUUUUUUUAUCCAAUUUUACCAAUCGAUUUGAAUUUAAAGUUUGAAACGAGUGACAGAUUUAGAAACAAACCCCGAAGCAAACAGGGUCUGUGUUUAUAUAUUCAUGUCUAACUUGUCUAACUACAUCUUUAAAUUUUUUUAACCAAGUGGCAGAUAUAAAGGUGUUAUUAUUUAUUUUCUUUAAUACACUGGUAAUUGACAGAGUCAUGUUUGUAAUCUGAGUAUAGGCAACAUUUAUUUUUGCUGUCCUUAUCCACCAAGCGGAUUCAAAAAAAUGUGCUAUAAAUAAGUAUAAUUAUAAUUUGGCAUGUGUCAGAACCCCCCUCCUCCCCCAUAAAGCUCUGGGGUCUUUGGCACAUUCGUUCCCAUGUGUCCUCACUAUAGAGUCAGUAAUAGACCUGGAGGAUCCCUGGAGGAUCUGGCAGCUCUUUGGUGGUUUUAGCUCCAGGCCACAUCAGCAC